UACAGAGGUCUCAAGCGUUGUUCGGAUUCAUUGGGCGUAAAGGGUGUGUAGGUGGCGCGCUAAGUCGGGUGUGAAAUUUCGGAGCUUAACUCCGAAACUGCAUUCGAUACUGGCGUGCUUGAGGACUGGAGAGGAGACUGGAAUUUACGGUGUAGCAGUGAAAUGCGUAGAUAUUGGGAGGAACACCAGUGGCGAAGGCGGCUCACUGGACCGGUACUGACGCUGAUGCGCGAAAGCGUGGGGAGCAAACGGG
rnacentral:rRNA from 1 species